CUGCAGCUCAAGUGGUGGCCGCUAUUAUUGGGCCUAAAACGUCCGUAGCCGGUUUAAUAAAUGCCCGGGUAAAUCGUGUAGCUUAACUAUACGAAUUCCGGGUAGACUGUUAAACUUGAGACCGGGAGAAGUUAGAGGUACUCCUGGGGUAGAGGUGAAAUUCUGUAAUCCUAGGGGGACCACCAGUGGCGAAGGCGUCUGACUAGAACGGGUCUGACGGUGAGGGACGAAGCCCUGGGGCGCAAACCGGAUUAGAUACCCGUGUAGUCC
rnacentral:rRNA from 1 species